rnacentral:misc_RNA from 1 species
GAUGAAGAACGUAGCGAAAUGCGAUAAGUAAUGUGAAUUGCAGAAUUCAGUGAGUCAUCGAAUCUUUGAACGCACAUUGCGCCCCCUGGUAUUCCGGGGGGCAUGCCUGUUCGAGCGUCAUUACAACCCUCAAGCUCUGCUUGGUAUUGGGCCCCGCCAGUUCUGGCGGGCCCUAAAGUCAGUGGCGGUGCCUUCCGGCUCCGAGCGUAGUAAUUCUUCUCGCUCUGGAGACCCGGUUGUGUGCUUGCCAACAACCCCCAAUUUUUUAAGGUUGACCUCGGAUCAGGUAGGGAUACCCGCUGAACUUAAGCAUAUCAAUAAGCGGAGGA